rnacentral:rRNA from 1 species
GUCGAGAAUCUUUCACAAUGGGGGCAACCCUGAUGGAGCGACGCCGCGUGGAGGAUAAGGUCUUCGGAUUGUAAACUCCUGUCAUGCGUGAACAAGGUUGCUUGGUUAAUACCUGGGCAAAUUGAUGGUAACGCAAGAGGAAGAGACGGCUAACUCUGUGCCAGCAGCCGCGGUAAUACAGAGGUCUCAAGCGUUGUUCGGAAUCACUGGGCGUAAAGGGUGCGUAGGUGGCGGGGUAAGUCAGAUGUGAAAGCGCGGGGCUCAACCUCGGAACUGCAGCCGAUACUGCCAUGCUAGAGUACUGGAGAGGUGACUAGAAUUCUCGGUGUAGCAGUGAAAUGCGUAGAUAUCGAGAGGAAUACCAAAGGCGUAGGCAGGUCACUGGACAGUUACUGACACUGAGGCACGAAGGCCAGGGGAGCGAACGGGAUUAGAAACCCGGGUAGUCC